rnacentral:rRNA from 1 species
UGGGGAAUAUUGCACAAUGGGGGAAACCCUGAUGCAGCGACGCCGCGUGAACGAAGAAGGUAUUCGUAUCGUAAAGUUCUGUCCUAUGGGAAGAUAAUGACAGUACCAUAUAAGAAAGCUCCGGCUAAAUACGUGCCAGCAGCCGCGGUAAUACGUAUGGAGCGAGCGUUGGCCGGAAUUAUUGGGCGUAAAGGGUACGCAGGCGGUUUAAUAAGUCGAAUGUUAAAGAUCGGGGCUCAACCCCGCAAAGCAUUGGAAACUGAUAAACUUGAGUAGUGGAGAGGAAAGUGGAAUUCCUAGUGUAGUGGUGAAAUACGUAGAUAUUAGGAGGAAUACCAGUAGCGAAGGCGACUUUCUGGACACAAACUGACGCUGAGGUACGAAAGCGUGGGGAGCAAACAGG